GUACACGCUGUGACUAGCAUAUCAAUAAGCGGAGGAAAAGAAACUAACAAGGAUUCCCCUAGUAACGGCGAGUGAAGCGGGAAGAGCUCAAAUUUGAAAUCUUAAAGGGUUUCCCUUUACGAAUUGUAGUUUAAAGAAGUGUUUUCUGUUGAGGUUUUGGUAAAAGUUCUUUGGAAUAGGACAUCAUAGAGGGUGAGAAUCCCGUAUUUGACCUUUACUUUCAACUUCGUGAUACACUUUCAAAGAGUCGGAUUGUUUGGGAAUGCAGUCCAAAAUGGGUGGUAAACUUCAUCUAAAGCUAAAUAUUGGCGAGAGACCGAUAGCGAACAAGUACCGUGAGGGAAAGAUGAAAAGAACUUUGAAAAGAGAGUUAAACAGUACGUGAAAUUGUCAAAAGGGAAGCGUUUGACACCAGUGUUGUUUUUCUGAAAAUCAAUUAAAGAACUGUUUAUGCUAAGUUGUUUAGACUUUAUCAGCUAACUGUUUAGUUUUGAGCUUUUCUUUAAUGCACUUUUCAGUUAACAAGUCAACAUCAAUUUCUUUUGCUGUAAAAAAGCUUGAGGAAGGUGGCUUGAGAUUCGUCUUAAGUGUUUAUAGCCUCUUGCCUAUGCAGUCGGAGAGAUUGAGGUCUGCAGCGUAGAUCCUUCGGGGCUAAAUGCAUUUGUGCUAAGUUAUAGCAUUUCAUAGACAACUUGUUGACUAUGAUUUGUCUUGUAGCUUACUCGCUUAUGUUAUUUUACCUACGCUUAGGAUGUUGACAGCAGUAUAGACUGU
rnacentral:rRNA from 1 species